rnacentral:tRNA from 1 species
GUUGGUAUAGGUCAGUGGAAGAGCACAUGCUUAGUUAGCAUGCACAGCGGCCUGGGUUCAAUCCCUAGUACCGCUA